rnacentral:misc_RNA from 1 species
GAUGAAGAACGCAGCGAAAUGCGAUAAGUAGUGUGAAUUGCAGAAUUCAGUGAAUCAUCGAAUCUUUGAACGCACAUUGCGCCCUUUGGUAUUCCAAAGGGCAUGUCUGUUCGAGCGUCAUUUGUACCCUCAAGCUUUGCUUGGUGUUGGGCGUCUUGUCUCUAGCUUUGCUGGAGACUCGCCUUAAAGUAAUUGGCAGCCGGCCUACUGGUUUCGGAGCGCAGCACAAGUCGCACUCUCUAUCAGCAAAGGUCUAGCAUCCAUUAAGCCUUUUUUUCAACUUUUGACCUCGGAUCAGGUAGGGAUACCCGCUGAACUUAAGCAUAUCAAUAAGCUGAGGA